rnacentral:misc_RNA from 1 species
UGUGGGAGCGGGCUUGCUCGCGAUACUGGCGGCGCGGUUUGUCUGGCAAACCCGGGUGAUGCCAUCGCGAGCGAGCCCGCUCCCACA